CACGAACCCGACAAACGUUAUUCGGAAUUAUUGGGCUUAAAGCGUGCGUAGGCGGUUCUGCAAGUCAGAUGUGAAAUCCCCGGGCUUAACCUGGGAACUGCGUUUGAAACUACGGAGCUAGAGUACGGCAGAGGGGGGUGGAAUUCCACGUGUAGCAGUGAAAUGCGUAGAGAUGUGGAGGAAUACCAAUGGCGAAGGCAGCCCCCUGGCCUAAUACUGACGCUCAUGCUCGAAAGCGUGGGGAGCAAACAGG
rnacentral:rRNA from 1 species